AUUGAACGCUGGCGGAAUGCUUUACACAUGCAAGUCGAACGGCAGCACGGGGCAACCUGGUGGCGAGUGGCGAACGGGUGAGUAAUAUAUCGGAACGUGCCCAAUCGUGGGGGAUAACGUAGCGAAAGUUACGCUAAUACCGCAUACGAUCUACGGAUGAAAGCGGGGGAUCGCAAGACCUCGCGCGAAUGGAGCGGCCGAUAUCAGAUUAGGUAGUUGGUGGGGUAAAGGCUCACCAAGCCAACGAUCUGUAGCUGGUCUGAGAGGACGACCAGCCACACUGGAACUGAGACACGGUCCAGACUCCUACGGGAGGCAGCAGUGGGGAAUUUUGGACAAUGGGCGCAAGCCUGAUCCAGCCAUUCCGCGUGCAGGAUGAAGGCCUUCGGGUUGUAAACUGCUUUUGUACGGAACGAAACGGUCUGCCCUAAUACGGCAGGCUAAUGACGGUACCGUAAGAAUAAGCACCGGCUAACUACGUGCCAGCAGCCGCGGU
rnacentral:rRNA from 1 species